rnacentral:rRNA from 1 species
UACGUAGGGUGCAAGCGUUGUCCGGAAUUAUUGGGCGUAAAGAGCUCGUAGGCGGUUUGUCGCGUCUGCCGUGAAAAUCCGGGGCUCAACCCCGGACUUGCGGGUGGGUACGGGCAGACUAGAGUGUGGUAGGGGAGACUGGAGUUCCUGGUGUAGCGGUGAAAUGCGCAGAUAUCAGGAGGAACACCGAUGGCGAAGGCAGGUCUCUGGGCCACUACUGACGCUGAGAAGCGAAGGCGUGGGGGAGCGAACAGG